UGGGAUAACCAAACCAUGACUCAGUGAUUUUUGACCUGCAGUACUGGGAUAACCAAACCAUGAUUCAGUGAUUUUGACCUGCAGUAUUGGGGCUCUCUGGGAUAACCAAACCAUGAUUCAGUGAUUUUGACCUGCAGUACUGGGGCUCUCUGGGAUAACCAAACCAUGACUCAGUGAUUUUGACCUGCAGUACUGGGGCUCUCUGGGAUAACCAAACCAUGACUCAGUGAUUUUUGACCUGCAGUACUGGGAUAACCAAGCUAUGACUCAGUGAUUUUGACCUGCAGUGUUGGGGCUCUCCAGGAGUAGGACAUAGGAUCACUGCUUUCAAGCACUAAUAUUGUGAGGUCCGUUGUCCUCUGUAUCCGUAAAGUAAUGAGUUAUUCAAUGUCUUCAUUGUCUCAUGUUCCCCUCUCUAGCUGUUCCCCAGGAAGUGUACCUGGCUCUACAUCAUCAACAACAACCUGAUGUCUCUGUCAGGCGGUUUGCCUUGACAACGAAGAUCCCUGACACAAAGGGCUGUCACAAGUGUUGCAUUGGUGAGUUCCACAUCCCCCAUGGUCAUGNNNNNNNNNNNNNNNNNNNNNNNNNNNNNNNNNNNNNNNNNNNNNNNNNNNNNNNNNNNNNNNNNNNNNNNNNNNNNNNNNNNNNNNNNNNNNNNNNNNNNNNNNNNNNNNNNNNNNNNNNNNUCGUAUAGUUGGGGGUAAAAAAAAACUCUUACCCGCACAUCACCACAACCCUGUUCCUGGAGAGCCACAGGUCCUGCAGGAGUUGUCCCCAACGAGGCACCACACCUGACCAACUGAGCUAAUUGAUCAGGUCAGACGUUGAUUCAAUUCAACACACCUGGUCUUCAAGGUCAGUAAAAUCAAGAACUGCGGCAUUCCAGGACCAGCCUACCCCCUGCUCUACACAGAGAAACAAUCAACCUCAACUAGGGCUGUGGUCGUCAUGACUUCAACGUAUUGGUAUUGACACUCAGAACUGUGGUCGUCAUGACAUUUUGUUUGCCGGUGAUUGUCAAGCAAAUAACUGUCGGACUCACGGUAAUCGACCGUUAAUUAACAUUUAGCAUCUCCUGGCUUCCACACAGCCUACAAGCCACUGAUGCAGACCUUUGNNNNNNNNNNCCCCCCCAAAAAAAAUCUAAAAGUGUUUGGUUGGUGGAGGUCAUGGGCUAAUGGGAGUUUCUACCCUAUUUCUUAUUCACAAGGCAUUUGCACGUCUCAGCGAUCUUUGUUGCAGGGGCCUGGUAACAGUUGAAUAAAAUGAGAGAGAGAAAAUGACUGGUAACAGUUGAAUAAAAUGAGAGAGAGAAAAUGACUGGUAGUAACACUGCUCUUGAUUAAGUUUCACAUAUCGGGCCUCACGACUUUCCUCAGAGCUUUUAACAUGUUUCUUAUUCCAGUCAUUUCAUUUGAAAUCGGUGAAAGGAAGUGAACAAGUGCACACUUUAGGAGGCAGGAGAGACAGAGAGUUGGGAUGCAGCCUAGGUAUAGUUCAGUGUGAUGUGUAGCGUCGUUCCUACUGAAGAGUAGACCCACUUUAGGAGGCAGGAGAGAGAGAGUUGGGAUGUAGCCUAGGUAUAGUUCAGUGCGAUGUGUAGCGUCGUUCCUACUGAAGAGUAGACCCACUUUAGGAGGCAGGAGAGAGAGAGAGUUGGGAUGUAGCCUAGGUAUAGUUCAGUGCGAUGUGUAGCGUCGUUCCUACUGAAGAGUAGACCCACUUUAGGAGGCAGGAGAGAGAGAGUUGGGAUGUAGCCUAGGUAUAGUUCAGUGCGAUGUGUAGCGUCGUUCCUACUGAAGAGUAGACCCACUUUAGGAGGCAGGAGAGAGAGAGUUGGGAUGUAGCCUAGGUAUAGUUCAGUGUGAUGUGUAGCGUCGUUCCUACUGAAGAGUAGACCCACUUUAGGAGGCAGGAGAGAAAGAGUUGGGAUGUAGCCUAGGUAUAGUUCAGUGCGAUGUGUAGCGUCGUUCCUACUGAAGAGUAGACCCUAUGCCCCGGCUCAGAGAAUAUCUAAUCUCUGGUUUCUUUCUUCUCUUCCUCUUGGGCUCUGUCCCUCUUCCUCAUCCUCCUCCUCUUCCUCUGGUCUGGCUUGAUUUGGUAUUCUACUAACCGGCUUCAUCAGAAGGUAAUCAUCACAUUCACAAAUCAUCAUCAUCGCAGUCAUCAUCACCCCUCAUCCAGGGUUGCAUCCUUUUGGUUACUGUCCCAAAAUUCCUGGGUUUUUCCCCAAGAAAUCCCAGUUAGAAUAUUCCUGGAAUCAGUAUGGAAUAAGCAGGAAAUCCAGGAAUUCUCCAACCGGGAUUUCUAGAAAACCGAGGGAAUUUGGGUUAAAAUGACCCUCCUUACCCCCCUUACCCUUUUCAACAUCAAGCUAACUCCAUCGCAGGCACAUGCCUGCAUGUUCAGAUAAAAGUUCAUCUGAGGUCAGCUCCUUAAAACCAAAUUGAUGUUGAUGGUGAAUACAUCUACACUAAUAAUAAUACCAAGUGUUUCUGCCAUGUAUCCUCUUUUGAUCUAGUUUCCUUAGUCCUUCAAUCUAUCUCCGUGUUGCCGUUUGUCUGUUUAACUAUACAGGAAUGUUUUGGGGGAGAUGUCAUGACCCCACUGUAAGAGAUGUGACCCCCAGAAACAAUGUCAUGUCUACGUCCCAAAUUACAUUCUAUUCUCUAUAUAGUGCACUUCACUCCCCCCCCNNNNNNNNNNGUUACUGUCCCAAAAUUCCUGGGUUUUUCCCCAAGAAAUCCCAGUUAGAAUAUUCCUGGAAUCAGUAUGGAAUAAGCAGGAAAUCCAGGAAUUCUCCAACCGGGAUUUCUAGAAAACCGAGGGAAUUUGGGUUAAAAUGACCCUCCUUACCCCCCUUACCCUUUUCAACAUCAAGCUAACUCCAUCGCAGGCACAUGCCUGCAUGUUCAGAUAAAAGUUCAUCUGAGGUCAGCUCCUUAAAACCAAAUUGAUGUUGAUGGUGAAUACAUCUACACUAAUAAUAAUACCAAGUGUUUCUGCCAUGUAUCCUCUUUUGAUCUAGUUUCCUUAGUCCUUCAAUCUAUCUCCGUGUUGCCGUUUGUCUGUUUAACUAUACAGGAAUGUUUUGGGGGAGAUGUCAUGACCCCACUGUAAGAGAUGUGACCCCCAGAAACAAUGUCAUGUCUACGUCCCAAAUUACAUUCUAUUCUCUAUAUAGUGCACUUCACUCCCCCCCC
rnacentral:lncRNA from 13 species